CGGCCGCAACCUUGUUUUGACUGAGUCAGUGGGAGCCAUUACUGUUCCUCCAUGUACACUGGCGUGACAAGAGUUCCGGGAUUGUCCACAGCACCGUGAUGUGGAAGCCCUGGGGAGAGAAUGAUAAAGAAAGGGGGGUUCUCCAGAGGGCCAGAACUAACAGGAUAUA